rnacentral:tRNA from 1 species
GUGGCUGUAGCUCAGUUUGGUUAGAGCGCAGGAUUGUGGCUCCUGAGGCCGGGGGUUCGAAUCCCCUCAGCCACCCCA